rnacentral:RNase_P_RNA from 1 species
UGAGUCGGCCGGGCAACCGCGUCAGCGACGCCAACGCGUCGGUGUCGAGGAAAGUCCGGGCUCCACAGGGCAGGGUGGUUGUUAACGGCAACCCGGGGUGACCCGCGGGACAGUGCCACAGAGAACAGACCGCCUGGCAUCGCAAGGUGACCAGGUAAGGGUGAAACGGUGGUGUAAGAGACCACCAGCGCCGCAGGUGACUGCGGCGGCUAGGUAAACCCCACCCGGAGCAAGGUCGAGAAGCAUCGGCGUGAGCCGAUGUGCGCAGAUGUUCGAGGGCGGCCCGCCCGAGUCUGCGGGUAGACCGCUGGAGCCUGCCGGCGACGGCAGGCGGAGAUGGAUGGUUGCCGAACGGGACCGCCGAGAGGCACCCGGGAACAGGACCCGGCUUACAGGCCGGCUCAUCCA